UGAGGUCUACAUGAAAUUGCCUCCGGGUUUUAAAAGUUCGGAUUCUUCUUUGGUUUGCAGACUUAAAUUAGCUUCCUUUGUUCCUCUAGAGUCUUGAAUAUUACUGUCCUCCUCCCUUCUUCACUCUCCUCUUUCCCUUAAUCUUUUAUCAAUUCUCUCUUCCACGAGCACACAUCGACAUGAGCUAUUAUAAUCAACAAUCAAGCUUCACCAUCGACCCAUACCUACCGUCAACCCAUACCCGCCGGCAACAACUGUUCACACACCGCUUAACAACCGAGCAUCCACUAUCAAUGCAAGCCUCGUUGUCAACCCCAAGAGAAAGGAGCUUAACAGCGUUUCUGAAGGAGUGAAGGUUAUACUAAGCCCAACCUGACGAACUGUGGUGGGAGCUAUACCGACACUUUUUAGGCCAUUUUUUUACCAUAAUUUGUUGUAUUGAAAUUAUAUAAUGGGAUAGAAUAUAAUUUAGUUUGUAUCAAUUAAUUGAAAGGAUUAUUUUU